UAGGGAAUCUUCUGCAAUGGACGAAAGUCUGACCGAGCAACGCCGCGUGAGUGAAGAAGGUUUUCGGAUCGUAAAACUCUGUUGUUAGAGAAGAACAAGGACGUUAGUAACUGAACGUCCCCUGACGGUAUCUAACCAGAAAGCCACGGCUAACUACGUGCCAGCAGCCGCGGUAAUACGUAGGUGGCAAGCGUUGUCCGGAUUUAUUGGGCGUAAAGCGAGCGCAGGCGGUUUCUUAAGUCUGAUGUGAAAGCCCCCGGCUCAACCGGGGAGGGUCAGUGGAAACUGGGAGACUUGAGUGCAGAAGAGGAGAGUGGAAUUCCAUGUGUAGCGGUGAAAUGCGUAGAUAUAUGGAGGAACACCAGUGGCGAAGGCGGCUCUCUGGUCUGUAACUGACGCUGAGGCUCGAAAGCGUGGGGAGCAAACAGG
rnacentral:rRNA from 1 species